rnacentral:tRNA from 1 species
GGCGGUGUAGCUCAGCUGGCUAGAGCAUGCGGUUCAUACCCGCAGAGUCGUAGGUUCAAGUCCUACCACCGCUACCA